rnacentral:lncRNA from 1 species
GGGGCGGCAACCGCGGCAGCGGCAGCGGUGGUCAGGAUUCAACCCUGUACUGGCUCCAUGUGCCCCCUAGUGGUGGUUUCCCACAACUUCAGAAUGCCCUGUAUCCAGUCAGUCAGAAAGCUUGCCGCCUCCAGAGAGGCUUGCCCAGCGUUCUCCCUCCUCCUCAGGGAGAAGACUAAAACCAAGAGAGACCAACUCUUUAGAGAUCCACAGUAAGUGUACAGAGCUGGGUGAAAGCAGAACUUCUAAACCCAGACGCUCGUCUGCCCACUCCCUUAUGGUCAAGGGUGUUGUCAAAGCUUGAGCCCCUACCCUUUGCUUGGUGGCACCUGAAAGAAUUUGGUGUGCACAGUGCUUUCUCCCAUCCUCUCACCAUGUGGCCAUAGGUGCUGAAGAUGUGCUGACCCUGGCUUCAGACUAGGGCUCUGCCCCUAGCAGGGCACCCUGUCUCCUUUUUUGGCCCUGAUGUAGACUGGGCUGUGGAGUUCAACAUGAAUACUCCUGUGGGUUUGUUGUUGUUGUUUUGGUUUUUUUUUUUUCCUUUGGGGGGGGUUGGUUUUGUUUUUUGGUUUUUUUUUUCGAGACAGGGUUUCUCUGUAUCCUGUAUAACUCAGAAAUCCACCUGCCUCUGCCUCCCAAGUGCUGGGAUUAAAGGCGUGCGCCACCACGCCCGGCAAGGAUACUCCUGUGUUGUCUCAGCUGUGGCUGUGAAACAAACAUCCCUGAAAUUUAGUGACCUGACCUGAAAUCUGGAGUAACAAUCUAUCCCGUGUCAAUAAAGGUUUGGUUUUUGAGACAGGGUCUCUUUACAUAACCCUGGCUGUCCUGGAACUCAUUAUAUAAAUCAGGCUGGCUUUGAACUCACAGAGUUCACUUGGGUGGUGGGAUUAAAGGCUGACAGUGAAGUGACUGUUUUACUUCCUGUGUGUUGGCUGGGAUAACUGUGAGGUCCAGCCUUUCACUCUCGGACUUCGCUGGGAUGGAACCAAACUGUCUCUUCCCUGCAGAGGCCUGUGCGUGGCUACCCAGUCUCUCCAGCCUACGUUGAUUCUCUCCUCCUUGCCCUUUUGUCCUGAUCCUGAGGUGAGUGGCUUUGCUCUGUCGACUUUGCACUCCGUGCCCCAGUGAGAGGGGCAAAGGGCAACAGGUCCACAGGAGCACAAAAGGUACACCUAUCAGGUAUCAGUUACAUCCUGCAAUCCUUGUGAGUGUAUUAAGGGCUUCAUUUGAUGCCAGUAGGUAUUUGGGCGGUCUGCUACAUAGCAUAGUGUACUGGCUGGUUUUUGUGUCAACUUGACACAGCUGGAGUUAUCACAGAGAAAGGAGCCUCCCUUGAGGAAAUGCCUCCACGAGAUCCAGCUGUAAGGCAUUUUCUCAAUUAGUGAUCAAGUGGGGAGGGCCCCUUGUGGCUGGUGCCAUCUCUGGACUGGUGGUCCUGGGUUCUAUAAGAGAGCAAGGUGAGCAAGCCAAGGGAGGCAAGCCAGUAAGUAACAUCCCUCCAUGGCCUCUGCAUCAGCUCCUGCUUCCUGACCUGCUUGAGUUGCAGUCCUGACUUCCUUUGGUGAUGAACAGCAAUGUGGAAGUGUAAGCUGAAUAAACCCUUUCCUCCCCAACUUGCUUCUUGGUCAUGAUGUUUGUGCAGGAAUAGAAACCCUGACUAAGACACAUAGUGUGAGGCGCAGGUGUGGCAGCAGUCCCAAGAAGACGCCAGGGACUGCAGCUAAGUCGUAUGACUUGCACCUGACUUCCUCAUAUAAGCCACAAACAUCUUGAGAGCUGCGCGUGUGUACCAUGAAUCCAUUUUGAUGGAGAUAUGUCCCUGCUGCCCUGAUUAGCUGAAGCUUCGUGCCUGGUGAGGUGGCGUGGCCUGCUGUGCGUGGAUGGGAACUGAGAGUAUAAAAGUGAGAGGCCCAGGGUUCGGGGGAGAUAUAAACAAGGGAGAUAUAAACAAGGGAGAUAUAGAGAAAGAAGAAACAGGACUGAAUAAACGUGUGCAGAAGG